GUUGGACUAGAUGACCUACAAGGUCCCUUCCAACUGUUAAUCUGAGUUGAGUUGAGGACAGGCGAACGUGUAUAAUUCGCUUUUUUUCCCCCCCACAGUAUUUGUCCCAUCUUGGUUUCCGUAGUGGGAAUCGUGUUUUGCUAGUUAUUCCCUCCCGUUUACGAAGAUUUUCCCCCAUCCAUUGCACCUGCGCUACCGGAACUGUACGUUGGAUUCGACCAAUAGAAUAGCUCUUCCCCUCCCCCCCAUGAAGAGCUCGCGCUUUUGAGCAAACUUGGCGACAUGAAGUUUGCACGAGAGGAAAAAAAUGGAUAGAACUAGCACUUGGAUUCUAACUGUGAUCCUCAUGAUGGACAGCGCCGACCGAAUGCCAGUCACACUUACAUAACGAUCACAAUUGAUCUCCAGAACAAAUCCCAGCAGUAUAAAUAAUGUAUUGAUCUUCAGUUCUUCACAAGAUCAUACCAAGGUUCUCUCCUUUGGAAUACGGGCAGAAUAUGAGUGAGUCAUUUGAAUUAACUGGCUUGUGACCUCUAAACAUUGGAAGGAAUUGGCCUGUGUUAGGAGCAUUGAAUGUUGGAAUAUCGUUAAGAAGCUUAGCUGUUUGAGAGGCCCACGUAAAAAAGCAAUGUGGUUUUCCUAAGUCACACAUUUUAAAACAAAAGUUAACAGUGGCAGAGGCAUGCAGAAUCCAAAACCAAGCUGUAUCGCGGUUUAGGAUGAGAUAGGAUAUCAGCCCCUUGAGGUAGGGUUAGAUAGGAUCACAUUGUAGGCCAGAUUGUUCUAUCUGUCCUAUCUAAAAAUUUCUUUUGGUUCUUGCAUGAAAUUCCUAGUGGCUUCCCUGCUAAAAUUCUACCCUGUUCAGGACAGAAUUUUAGAGGUCUGGAAAAGUGACAUUAGGGUGUGUCUCAUUUAAACAUCCCAUCUGUCCAAAUCUAUACUCUGUAACUGCAGUGGAAUAAACUGGAUUUUAACA